AAGAAGCUAAUAUUCAUCCUCCUAAAUGGCCAGCCAUGGUGAAGGGGAGGGAAGAGCAUGGUGUUGCCUCCUUAACCUCCCAUCAUCCAAAACCCUAGAGAAAGAUGAUGCCAAUCUCUAUUUAUAUAUAGGCUAGGUAUUUCAAGUUGGGUCACCCAUGACCUAUAUCACUUGAAAUGACCCAUGUGGUUCAUCAAGCGAGUCAAAACCCAUCAAUACUCCCUAUGGGCAAACUUCCUUGCUUCUUGGGC
rnacentral:lncRNA from 1 species